rnacentral:rRNA from 1 species
GACGAACGCUGGCGGCGUGCUUAACACAUGCAAGUCGAACGGAAAGGCCCUUCGGGGUCCUCGAGUGGCGAACGGGUGAGUAACACGUGGGUGAUCUGCCCUGCACUUUGGGAUAAGCCUGGGAAACUGGGUCUAAUACCGAAUAGGACCACGCGCUUCAUGGUGUGUGGUGGAAAGCUUUUGCGGUGUGGGAUGGGCCCGCGGCCUAUCAGCUUGUUGGUGGGGUAAUGGCCUACCAAGGCGACGACGGGUAGCCGGCCUGAGAGGGUGACCGGCCACACUGGGACUGAGAUACGGCCCAUACUCCUACGGGAGGCAGCAGUGGGGAAUAUUGCACAAUGGGCGCAAGCCUGAUGCAGCGACGCCGCGUGAGGGAUGACGGCCUUCGGGUUGUAAACCUCUUUCAAUAGGGACGAAGCGCAAGUGACGGUACCUAUAGAAGAAGCACCGGCCAACUACGUG